GGAAAAGGAACAAUAAGUCAAGAAUAAAACUGAAGAAUUUUUGGACAGCUGUGAUGGCACAGAGCCGCCUACAUCACACCUCGAACUGAUUUGAUCCAUCAAAAGCAUCAAAGCCAUUGUGAGGUGUCAGUUUCUCUCUAUGAAAGACCUGGAAACUGUGAUUCACGCUCUUAUUACAUCACUACUGUAAUUCUCUGUGUGCUGGCCUUCAUCUAUCUCCUGCAGCUUGUGUAAAAAGCAGCAGUGAGAUUUUUAACAGGGAUUAACAUAAGGCGUGAUCGAGCUCCAGAACAGUCUCGCCUUUCACGUGAGGUCCGCUCUAUCUAC
ensembl:lncRNA